rnacentral:rRNA from 1 species
UACGGAGGGUGCAAGCGUUAUCCGGAUUUACUGGGUUUAAAGGGUGCGUAGGUGGGCCUGUAAGUCAGUGGUGAAAUCUUCAAGCUUAACUUGGAAACUGCCAUUGAUACUAUAGGUCUUGAAUUAUCUGGAGGUAAGCGGAAUAUGUCAUGUAGCGGUGAAAUGCUUAGAGAUGACAUAGAACAUCGAUUGCGAAGGCAGCUCGCUACACUAUGAUUGACACUGAGGCACGAAAGCGUGGGGAUCAAACAGG